GUGUUCACUUCAGCAGCACAUAUACUAAAAUUGAAACAGAGAAGAUUAGCAUGGCCCCUGCACAAGGAUGACACGCAAAUUCGUGAAGCGUUCCAUAUUAAA